GAUGAACGCUGGCGGCGUGCCUAAUACAUGCAAGUCGAGCGAAGCGGGGACGGGCGAGUAACACGUGGAUAACCACCUAUCAGACUGGCAUAAAUUCGGGCACCAGGACCUAAAACGGCUCCUUCUUGAUGGAUCCUUGCUGCAUUAGCUCGUUGGUAAGGUAAGGGCGUACAAAGGCAACGAUGCAUAGCCAACCUGAGAGGGUGAUAGGACACAAUGGAAAUGAGACACGGUCCAGACUCCUACGGGAGGCAGCAGGAGGGAAUAGUGCGCAAUGGGCGAAAGCCUGACUGAGCAACGCCGCGUGAGUGAGGAAGGUCUUCGGAUCGUAAAACGCUGUUAUUAGGGAAGCGGUACCUAAUCAGAAAGCCACGGCUAACUACGUGCCAGCAGCCGCGGUAAUAC
rnacentral:rRNA from 1 species